GAUGAACGCUGGCGGCGUGCCUAAUACAUGCAAGUCGAACGAACAGACGAGGAGCUUGCUCCUCUGACGUUAGCGGCGGACGGGAGAGAAACACGUGGAUAACCCACCUAUAAGACUGGGAUCACUUCGGGAAACCGGAGAUAAUACCGGAUAAUAUAUUGAUCCGCAUGGUUCAAUAGUGAGAGACGGUUUUGCUGUCACUUAUAGAUGGAUCCGAGCCGCAGUAGCUAGUUGGUAAGGUAAAGGCCUACCAAGGCAACGAUGCGUUUACGACCGGUUAGAGGGGUCGGCCACACGGGAGCGGAGACACGCUCCAGACGCCUACGGGACGCAGCAGUAGGGAAUCUGCCGCAGUAGUCGAAAGCCUUACGGAGCAACGCCGCGUGAGUUAUGAAGGUCUUCGGAUCGUAAUACUCUGUUAUUGGUUAUAAACAAAUGUGUAAGGAACUAUGCACUUCUUGACGGUACCUAAUCAGAAAGCCACGGCUAACUACGUG
rnacentral:rRNA from 1 species